rnacentral:rRNA from 1 species
GAAAGUGUGGGGAGCAAACAGGAUUAGAUACCCUGGUAGUCCACACUGUAAACGAUGAAUGCUAGGUGUAGGGGGUAUCGACCCCUUCUGUGCCGCAGUCAACACAAUAAGCAUUCCGCCUGGGGAGUACGGCCGCAAGGUUGAAACUCAAAGGAAUUGACGGGGGCCCGCACAAGCAGCGGAGCAUGUGGUUUAAUUCGACGCAACGCGAAGAACCUUACCAGGUCUUGACAUCCACUUAAACUUACAGAGAUGUAAGGUGUGCUUGCACAAAGUGAGACAGGUGGUGCAUGGUUGUCGUCAGCUCGUGUCGUGAGAUGUUGGGUUAAGUCCCGCAACGAGCGCAACCCUUAUCUUCAGUUACUAACGCGUGAAGGUGAGGACUCUGAAGAGACUGCCGGGGACAACUCGGAGGAAGGUGGGGACGACGUCAAAUCAUCAUGCCCCUUAUGACCUGGGCUACACACGUGCUACAAUGGCCACGACAGAGAGAAGCGAAAUCGUAAGGUAGAGCGGAACUCAAAAAAGUGGUCCCAGUUCGGAUUGUGGGCUGCAACCCGCCCACAUGAAGUCGGAGUUGCUAGUAAUCGCGGAUCAGCAUGCCGCGGUGAAU